CCAUGGAGACGGUCGUCGACAUGUUCCGCAAGCUCGGCCUGCGACAGACGCUCGUCACGCACAACGGCCGGCUGCUGGGCGUGAUCACCAAGAAGGAUGUGUUGCGGCACGUCAAGCAAAUGGAUAAUGAAGAUCCCAAUUCGGUUCUAUUCAAUUAGUUUAAGUUUAAUAUAUAGUAUAUUAGAAUAGGCGCGGAUAUAUAGCGAAUUAGUUGAAGAUAAAAGUGUUGUAUAAAACGCAUGUAUUGUAUGUAUAUAAUUGUUUGCAUUAAAACAUCUAUAGUAAAUGUGUAGCCGAAACAGUCGCGUGUCGUGACAGUCAUCUGCGCCAUAGUUAAUUACCUUGCAAUCGACACACAGACACAAUUUACAAUUGAUCCUAGCUUAAAUAUACAUUAUGCUUGUACAAUGUCCUAUUGGAUUGUAAUAUUAAUUGUAGCAAAUUUUUUAAUAAUAAUUGUCUAGUUAACCUUGAACAACACGGGCGUAGCCAGCCGUUACUUCACGGGCGGGGCAACUGGCGAAGCAACCUCCAGUCCUCCCUCUCUUGUGCCAUAUUGUUGAUCUUAUCCAUAUCGUAUACCCAAUUUGUCUUUUGCCUGUUGUAUAUAUGUCUGUCUUGGUCUUCCUCUAUUUCCCUUCCCUUCUAUUCAUAGGUAACUCCCUGUCACUCUGCAACUGCAUGUUUUAUUCUGAUUAUCUAGUUACUUAUUGCUCGCCUAUACAACAUUAUCAGGGAGAAGGGAGGCCGCGUUGUUCACGUAAUCAAUGUGCAAUAUCGACCGCUGUACCUACACAAUUGAGCAUGUAUCUGUAUGUAUGGAAUGAAUUCAAUCUUAUACAACACAAAUACCUGAAUUACUUUUUGUUUACAAUUUUAUUUUAUUUAUUAUUGACGCAUUUUGUAUACAAAUGAUCUGUUUUUUAUGUGUUGUCCUUUUGUAAGUAAGUGUUAACACAUUUAUAUUAUGUAUGUAUAUAGAAAUGUAAUUAUGUGUAUGUUUUUGUUUACUAAUAAUUUUCUUUGUGUAAUAAUAAAUAAUGUUUGAACACAACUGAGAUUUUGAUAGGAAAUGUAUUCUAUGAUGUAGUUAAAAUAAUUCCUUUUUUACACAUGUUAUAGCAAAUGUUGUUAUACCGUAAUUGUGAAUGUAUCGACAGGGCCGUGUUGCAACAAUUACAAUGUUGUUACAAUGUAUAACAAUUAUCCGUCAUUAGUUAAUAUAAUUACCAUAAAUAAUUGCUAAUAUCCCAUGCGAAUUAGAUUUUACAUGCAAAAGUAAUAGAGUUAAUGAGAGUUUCCUCUGGAGACGUAGCAUAGAUAGAGAUUGUUGUCUUUCGUCACAUUGCAUUAUUGACACAGAGUUUGGUAACACAUAGCGUUCAUCACAUAGCGGAUAAGAUAGUACUAUUUAGACAUAACUUAUAUAUCCUCUUGUUUGUUUUUUACAUCCGACUUCCCGGGUUAUUUUAUUUUCAAACAAUGUUAAAAUUAUUACGUUUUAUUAUUUAUUUUUAUAUGCAUGUCUGAAACAAAGCAGCUUUAUUAUAUAUAAAAUGUAUUGAAAACAUCAACAAGAAAUGCGUCGCAAUGAUUUAUAAUGUAAUCAACAUAUGUAAACAUUUGACGUUCGGUAUUUUUGAACGCAUUAUAUAAUGUGAUUGUUAAAAUAACUAUAUAUCUCUUGCUUUUCAUCACAACUGGCAGCAAAUGUAGUAAAAUUAAAUCAAUUAUAUCGCUUUAAUUUAUAAUAACUAUGCAUGUUCUACCGUUGCUGCCUCGUUGCUGGCUCGUUGCUGCCCCGUUGCUGCCUCGUUGCUGGCUCGUCGCUGCUUCAUCGUCUCAUCGUGAACUUGUACUAUUCAAUAAAGUCAUUACAAUGCAUAUGA